rnacentral:misc_RNA from 1 species
GAUGAAGAACGUAGCGAAAUGCGAUAAGUAAUGUGAAUUGCAGAAUUCAGUGAAUCAUCGAAUCUUUGAACGCACAUUGCGCCCGCCAGUAUUCUGGCGGGCAUGCCUGUUCGAGCGUCAUUUCAACCAUCAAGCCCUGCUUGCGUUGGGGUCCUGCGGCUGCCCGCAGGCCCUGAAAACCAGUGGCGGGCUCGCUAGUCACACCGAGCGCAGUAAUACAUCUCGCUUUGGGCGUGCGGCGGGUUCUUGCCGUUAAACACCCCCUUUUUACCAAGGUUGACCUCGGAUCAGGUAGGAAUACCCGCUGAACUUAAGCAUAUCAUAAGCGAGGA